rnacentral:rRNA from 1 species
AGUUGGUGGAGUGAUUUGUCUGGUUAAUUCCGUUAACGAACGAGACCUCCGCCUGCUAAAUAGUAACAGUUUUGCUUGCAAAGCUGGUUUAUCUUCUUAGAGGGACACUCGAUGUUUAGUCGAGGGAAGUUGGAGGCAAUAACAGGU